CUGUCAAAAUCAAUAUCUUGAAAACGCCAUAUUCGCACGCAGAAUAACAAAUCACACAUAGAAAUCUCUAACUUGAUAAUCCACGGCUCUCACUUCAAAACCAUUCAACAAUAAAACCCCACACUCUCUUUUGGUUUUUGAGCAAUAUAGCUUCCCAUAGUAACUAGUAUCUUUCACUUCUUCAAUCCACAAACCUCUCUCUCUUCACGGGUAAUCAUCUCUUGCUUCUGAUUGCAAAUUAUUAUAUGCUUAUGAAGCCAAACACAGUUUUUUAGGUAAAGGUGCUAUAAUGGAUGCGAGAUUCGAAGAUGGAGAUCAUUCAAAUGUGUAGGAAGACUUAAACAUGUCUGGAGAUACAACUGCUUAAUGGUUGAAAUUGGACCUUCAUAAUAUUACAAUUCUUUCUUUUUAGGCAUAUAGGCUUAUAUAGUUGCAUUUGAAUGUGCGAAUGAGAUAAAACUUAGCAAUUGUUGAACUUUUAUUAAUUAUUAAAUUGAGAUAUCACAAUAUUACAAAGGUGUUAUAUCAACAAGCACAUAUAUGGAAAUAAGGAGUUUGUCAUUGUGAUUGUUGUCGGUUCAUUCCUUCACGGAAGCUAGCUAGCAUUAGCAUGGAUUGUUGAACAUGGUUGACAAAUAGCACGCGUCGCCAUUAACGGAAGCAAAGUUGAUCAUAUCGGUGAAAAAAAUUUCUGGUUAUUAACCUUGUUGAUGAUUUAAACCAAAAACUGAAGUGUAAUAAACCUUGUGAUUAUUGUAAGUUUGUUACAUUGAAAUUUCUCAUGAAAGAUAUAGAAAUUUAUCAUAUUGUUCCAACACAAUUUGGGAACUCAAUUAAGAGUAUAUUUUGCAUAAUAACAAAGAAUAUGUGAACCAAAAAUA